rnacentral:rRNA from 1 species
GACGAACGCUGGCGGCGUGCCUAAUACAUGCAAGUAGAACGCUGAAGAGAGGAGCUUGCUCUUCUUGGAUGAGUUGCGAACGGGUGAGUAACGCGUAGGUAACCUGCCUGGUAGCGGGGGAUAACUAUUGGAAACGAUAGCUAAUACCGCAUAAAAUUGAUUAUUGCAUGAUAAUUAAUUGAAAGAUGCAACUGCAUCACUACCAGAUGGACCUGCGUUGUAUUAGCUAGUUGGUGAGGUAACGGCUCACCAAGGCGACGAUACAUAGCCGACCUGAGAGGGUGAUCGGCCACACUGGGACUGAGACACGGCCCAGACUCCUACGGGAGGCAGCAGUAGGGAAUCUUCGGCAAAGGGGGGAACCCUGACCGAGCAACGCCGCGUGAGUGAAGAAGGUUUUCGGAUCGUAAAGCUCUGUUGUAAGAGAAGAACGGGUGUGAGAGUGGAAAGUUCACACUGUGACGGUAUCUUACCAGAAAGGGACGGCUAACUACGUG